rnacentral:rRNA from 1 species
GACGAACGCUGGUGGCGUGCUUAACACAUGCAAGUCGAACGGUGAAGCCCAGCUUGCUGGGUGGAUCAGUGGCGAACGGGUGAGUAACACGUGAGCAACCUGCCCUCCACUUCGGGAUAAGCCUUGGAAACGAGGUCUAAUACCGGAUAUGAGCGCCUGCCGCAUGGUGGGUGUUGGAAAGUUUUUCGGUGGGGGAUGGGCUCGCGGCCUAUCAGCUUGUUGGUGGGGUAAUGGCCUACCAAGGCGUCGACGGGUAGCCGGCCUGAGAGGGCGACCGGCCACACUGGGACUGAGACACGGACCAGACGCCUACGGGAGGCAGCAGUGGGGAAUAUUGCACAAUGGGCGCAAGCCUGAUGCAGCGACGCCAAGUGAGGGAUGACGGCCUUCGGGUUGUAAACCUCUUUCAGCAGGGAAGAAGCGCAAGUGACGGUACCUGCAGAAGAAGCGCCGGCUAACUACGUGCCAGCCGCCGCAGUAA